GCGGAUGCCUUGGCUCUCGGAGGCGAUGAAGGACGUGAUAAGCUGCGAUAAGCUUUGGGGAGGUGCAAAUGACCUUUGAUCCAGAGAUUUCCGAAUGGGACAACCCAAUAUCUUGAAGAGGUAUUAUCCAACGUUGUUGGAGGCUAACGCAGGGAACUGAAACAUCUUAGUACCUGCAGGAAAAGAAAAUAAACAAUGAUUCCCCCAGUAGUGGCGAGCGAACGGGGAACAGCCCAAACCAUCCAUGUUACGGCAUGGGUGGGGUUGUAGGACUACGCCGUUGCAUGAAGACAUCAGAGAAGAACUUUCUGGAAAGAAAGACCAUAGAGCAUGACAGUUGCGUAUUCGAAUGUUGUCGAAGCAUAGUAGUAUCCUGAGUAGCGCGGAGCACGAGGAAUUCUGCGUGAAUCUGCCGGGACCAUCCGGUAAGGCUAAAUACUCCCGAGAGACCGAUAGCGAACCAGUACCGUGAGGGAAAGGUGAAAAGCACUUCGAACAGAAGAGUGAAAUAGUUCCUGAAACCGUGCGCCUACAAGCGGUCGGAGCUCGUUAAUGAGUGACGGCGUGCCUUUUGCAUAAUGAACCUACGAGUUGCCUUUGCCGGCAAGGUUAAGUGUGACGACACACGUAUCCGAAGCGAAAGCGAGUCUGAACAGGGCGUAUAGUCGGCAGUGGCAGACGCGAAACCAAGUGAUCUACCCUUGGCCAGGUUGAAGGCUGGGUAACACCAGCUGGAGGACCGCACCAAUAAGCGUUGAAAAGCUUCUGGAUGAGCUGAGGGUAGGGGUGAAAGGCUAAUCAAACUUGGAGAUAGCUCGUACUCCCCGAAAUGCAUUUAGGUGCAGCCUUGCGGGUUACUGAUGUGAGGUAGAGCGACUGAUAAGAUGCGAGGGCUUCACCGCCUAUCAAGUCUUGACAAACUCCGAAUGCGCAUCAGUUCUACCGCAGGAGUGAGGGCAUGGGUGCUAAGGUCCGUGCCCGAGAGGAGAAGAAUCCGGACCACCUGCUAAGGUCCCGAAAUGACAGCUAAGUUAAACUAACGAAGUCUGACUGCUAAGACAGCUAGGAUGUUGGCUUGGAAGCAGCCAUUCAUUUAAAGAGUGCGUAACAGCUCACUAGUCGAGGAGUCGGGCGUGGAUAAUAAUCGGGUAUGAAGUUGUCUACCGAAGCAGUGGGAUCAUUUAUAUGAUCGGUAGGGGAGCAUUCCAGUCAGCGUCGAAGGCGUACCGUGAGGUAUUCUGGAGCGUCUGGAAAAGCAAAUGUAGGUAUAAGUAACGAUAAAGGGGGCGGGAAACCCCCUCGCCGAAAGACUAAGGUUUCCUGAUCAACGCUAAUCGGAUCAGGGUCAGUCGGGUCCUAAGGCUCAGCCGAACGGCGAUGCCGAUGGCAGAAACGGUUAAUAUUCCGUUACUACCUUCAGGAGUGACGUGGAGACGCAGUAGUGACAGUGCCGCCAUCUGACGGAAUAGAUGGUUGAAGGGUGUAGGAGUCGAUCAUGGCAGGCAAAUCCACCAUGAGAUCCGAACCUGAUAGUAUGCCGCGUCCUUCGGGACAAGGCAAUAGUGCGCGUAAGCAUGCUGCCGAGAAAAUCCGCUAAACUUAAUCCUGCAGGUACCCGUACCGCAAACGGACACACGUAGUCGGGAUGAAUAUUCUAAGGCGCUUGAGUGAUUCACGGUUAAGGAACUAGGCAAACUGACCCUGUAACUUCGGGAUAAAGGGUCCCUACCCUUUUAUGGGAGGGCGCAGAGAAUCGGUCCAGGCAACUGUUUAACAAAAACACAGGGCUGUGCCAAAUCGAAAGAUCCAGUAUACAGCCUGACACCUGCCCGGUGCUGGAAGGUUAAGAGGAGAUGUCAUCGAUAAGAGAAGCGUUGAAUUGAAGCCCCAGUAAACGGCGGCCGUAACUAUAACGGUCCUAAGGUAGCGAAAUUCCUUGUCGGGUAAGUUCCGACCUGCACGAAUGGUGUAAUGAUCUGGACGCUGUCUCAACCGUGAGCUCAGUGAAAUUGUAGUAUCGGUGAAGAUGCCGAUUACCCGCGAUGGGACGAAAAGACCCCGUGAACCUUUACUAUAGCUUAUCAUUGAAUCUGGGCACGUGAUGUGUAGGAUAGGUCGGAGGCUUUGAAGCAGGUACGCCAGUAUUUGUGGAGCCGCUGUUGAAAUACGACCCUUUAUUUGUUUGGAUUCUAACCCGUGGAUACGGGGACAUUGAUUGGUGGGUAGUUUGACUGGGGUGGUCGCCUCCAAAAGCGUAACGGAGGCUUCUAAAGGUGCCCUCCGGCCGAUUGGUAACCGGCCUUAGAGUGUAAUGGCAUAAGGGCGCUUGACUGGGAGACUGACAAGUCGAUCAGGUAGGAAACUAGAGCAUAGUGAUCCGGUGUUUCCGUAUGGA
rnacentral:rRNA from 1 species